GCAAGGUGAUGUCUCUGCUUUUUAAGAUGCUGUCGAGGUUUGUCAUUGCUUUUCAAACCUAGACAGCAUCUUAAAAAGCAGAGACAUCACCUUGC